UUGCUUCAGUGGCACAUAUACCAAAAUUGGAAUGAUACAGAGAUUAGCAUAGCCCCCGAGCAAGAAUGACAUGCAAAUUCAUAAAGUGUUCCAUAUUUUG
ensembl:snRNA U6 U6 spliceosomal RNA